UACGUAGGGUGCGAGCGUUAAUCGGAAUUACUGGGCGUAAAGUGUGCGCAGGCGGCCGCGCAAGUCGAGUGUGAAAGCCCCGGGCUUAACUUGGGAAUUGCGCUCGAAACUACGUGGCUAGAGUGUGGCAGAGGGAGGUGGAAUUCCACGUGUAGCAGUGAAAUGCGUAGAGAUGUGGAGGAAUACCGAUGGCGAAGGCAGCCUCCUGGGCCAACACUGACGCUCAUGCACGAAAGCGUGGGGAGCAAACAGG
rnacentral:rRNA from 1 species